AGCGGAUUGCUUACCAGACAGGACGAGCAGAAGCGCAACAAUCGUCGUGGUCAGGCUCGUCGUCAUGGUCGUCGUGGAGCUCGGAGGGAAAUGUUGAGCUUGAUCCUCGCUUACUCGUCCGCGGCCACACCCAGCCAGUGGCCUUGCCGAGUACUGCGACUGAUGGGUUCGUCUUGUCAAGUGAUCACAAACGCAAACGAGACCAAUUGCGAGAUGAGACGUCUUUUACUUCCAACAACAACGUCGCCAUCAUAAAUAUGGAGCGUUGUUAUUAAGCUUGUACUGUAAAUAAAACCAAUGCUACAUGUUAAUGGCACUGGGAGCCCUGCAGCUCCUCCACCAAUGAGCAGAGGUCGGAGGUCACAUGCAGCCCGCUUCAGUUUCCUGCUUUUUUUAUGCAUUUUUUUUAGGAUUUCAGUGUAAAAGCUUGAAUACAAAGUGACAUUCUGGUUCUUGUUGCUUGUCACUUUUUUUUUUUUUUUUUAAGAAACGUUUGUUUUCUUGAGGUAAACUGUUAAAGUCA